GUAUCCUGUCUGAAUAUGGGGGGACCAUCCUCCAAGGCUAAAUACUCCUGACUGACCGAUAGUGAACCAGUACCGUGAGGGAAAGGCGAAAAGAACCCCGGCGAGGGGAGUGAAAAAGAACCUGAAACCGUGUACGUACAAGCAGUGGGAGCACAGAGCAAUCUGUGUGACUGCGUACCUUUUGUAUAAUGGGUCAGCGACUUAUAUUCUGUAGCAAGGUUAACCGAAUAGGGGAGCCGAAGGGAAACCGAGUCUUAACUGGGCGUUAAGUUGCAGGGUAUAGACCCGAAACCCGGUGAUCUAGCCAUGGGCAGGUUGAAGGUUGGGUAACACUAACUGGAGGACCGAACCGACUAAUGUUGAAAAAUUAGCGGAUGACUUGUGGCUGGGGGUGAAAGGCCAAUCAAACCGGGAGAUAGCUGGUUCUCCCCGAAAGCUAUUUAGGUAGCGCCUCGUGAAUUCAUCUCCGGGGGUAGAGCACUGUUUCGGCAAGGGGGUCAUCCCGA
rnacentral:rRNA from 1 species